CCUACGGGUGGCAGCAGUGGGGAAUAUUGGGCAAUGGGCGCAAGCCUGACCCAGCAACGCCGCGUGAAGGACGAAGGCUUUCGGGUCGUAAACUUCUUUUAAGAGGGAAGAGCAGAAGACGGUACCUCUUGAAUAAGCCACGGCUAACUACGUGCCAGCAGCCGCGGUAAUACGUAGGUGGCAAGCGUUGUCCGGAUGUACUGGGGGUAAAGGGCGUGCAGCCGGGAAGACAAGUCAGAUGUGAAAUCCCGGGGCUCAACCGCGGAACUGCCAUUGACACUGUUUUUCUAGAGUACCGGAGAGGUCAUCGGAAUUCCUGGUGUAGCGGUGAAAUGCGUAGAUAUAAGGAAGAACACCAGUGGCGAAGGCGGAAGACUGGACGGCAACUGACGGUGAGGCGCGAAAGCGUGGGGAGCAAACAGGAUUAGAUACCCGGGUAGUC
rnacentral:rRNA from 1 species